rnacentral:lncRNA from 1 species
ACCGGCCUGCGCGCGCAUCUUCCCUCCUGUCUUGGUCCCUGCGAGUAUCGAGGCUAUCGCAGUUUCUUACCCGGGCUAUCUGUCGCCAUCCGGGCCCGCGGAGGCCGUUGCAGGUUUUAGAAGAUGGCGAAGUUUAUGACACCUGUGAUCCAGGACAACCCCUCAGGCUGGGGUCCCUGUGCCGUUCCUGAGCAGUUUCGGGAUAUGCCCUACCAGCCAUUCAGCAAAGGAGAUCGGCUGGGGAAGGUUGCAGACUGGACAGGGGCCACGUACCAGGACAAGAGGUACACAAGUAAGUCCCUCAGUGGGCUGCCCACACCUAGGCCUUGGGAAGGUCACUACUUUUUUCCGUAAGCCCCACUUGAAAAUAUUUUAGAAAGAAAAGGAAAUGGUAGUGGUAGUUAUUGGGAGUAUAC